AAAAAGCUCGUAGUUGGAUUUCUGCAAGGUCAGGUUGGUCCGCUUUUUGAGCGAGUAUCAAAACCCGCCCCGGCAUCACUGUGGGGAGUGUCAAUAUGCUUGAUUGCAUAUAGCGCAAGUCGCAGCUUUUACUUUGAGGAAAAUAGAGUGUUCACGGCAGGUCAAAGCCUCGAAUAUAUUAGCAUGGAAUAAUAUUAUAGGACUCAUGUUCUUAUUUUGUUGGUUUCAGGAGCUAGAGUAAUGGUCGAUAGGGAUUGCUGGGGGCAUUUGUAUUAACGCGUCAGAGGUGGAAUUCUUGGAUUGCGUUACGACAAACUACUGCGAAAGCAUUUGUCAAGAAUGUUUUCAUUGAUCAAGAACGAAAGUAUGGGGAUCGAAGAUGAUUAGAUACCGUCGUAGUCUAUACCAUAAACCAUGCCGACUAGGGAUUGAAGGUCGUUCUAUCUGUGACCCCUUCAG
rnacentral:rRNA from 1 species